AUCAAGUAGCCUGCUAACCAAACUUCGAAAAAGCCACGCUCAUCAGUCAAAGCCCUUUCACUGAGCCAACUCAGACGGGGCUUAUUUAUGUGCGUCUGCUGCAGGAAGCAUGAAUUGACUUUGUGACUUUAUAGUUAGGCGCCAUGCCAGCGCUUAUCCUGCUCUUUAGGACAAGUCGUCCUUUCUGCGAGCAUAAUGUGUGCAUGACAGUCAGCUCAUCCUUUACUACAGCCCUCCGCCGACCCUCACAUCUGACCGUGCGUCAAUGCCAGAGAAAAGGACAUUGUUGCCACCCGGCGAUGCACGAUGCACGAUGCAGCAUGCACCCUCCACUUGAUGCCAGGCGGCGCACAAUGUGUCUUUUGAUUUCCGCAAACUGUAAGCUUGGUGAAUGCCAACCGCAAGCCGCAGGAAUGAGGAUGAUUUGAAAGCAAUACGCACUCCCUGGUCGGAAAGCGAAUGUUUCGAAUUCCAUACGCGGAGCCUUUGGGAAAUUUGAUACACGAAGGUUUGACUGGAAGGCUUUAAUCUUUUAACAACUCUUAGACUAAUAAGCAUUCAUGUUACAUUAAAUGAAGGCCUUCGUUCGAUAGGCCGAUUAUAAUCAAGUUUUCUCUGGCGGAAAAUUGAACUCAAAACAUUUCAAUUAAAGAUCGAGUUGCAAAUUACUCUCAACUUAUAAGUCAAAAUAAGCUCAUAUGGACUGCCCAUAAAAAGUCAACCCCUCAGCCUGCAAAUAAGACCUGCAAACAAAUGAAAGCCAAUGCAACCACAAAUCAAUGGCUCACACUGCGUAUACGCAAUGUUCAUUCUGAAUGUAGGCCAAUAUUGGCAGAAUACUUUGACAGAAUACAAUAUUGGCCACUAUGCUAAUUCCUGGCCAGCAAUUGACGUAUGUUGACUCCUGGCUGCUCCUAGUUUGUUAAUCCGAAAAGCAUGUAAUUUCUAUUUAUCUAUGCAGAUGUCAUGGCUAAUUGAUUUUGCAAGAAUUCGGCCAUUUGUUUGUUUGCUUUCGGACGACAGACCGAGUCAAGAGUACACAAAAUAGUUGAUAAAUAAUUUAAAAUUACAACUCCGAAACUCGAAUGAUGUGCAGGCACUUGAUAUCGCAGCGCCAAUGGCUUUUUUAUGCGUGUUUGUGGCCACGUUCACGUAAUGCACAUAAAGUUGCGGAUGCUCGUGGCAGAGCCACACGGCGUAUACUUAAUACACACGUAUGCCCUGCGUGACUGCCGCAAGGCAACAUGGAAGAUCUGCUCGCUGCAGGAUGCAGGACUGCAAAAGAAAUCAACUUAAAAUGUGCAAAUUGUUUAUACGGCGACCCCUCUGCGGGCAAACACAAACAUAUUUAUAGUAUAUGCAAUGGAUGGGUUAAAGUAUGUGCCGGACAUUGAAUAAGAUUAAUGAAGGUUUACUUUCGGCUCCAUCUCCCUCUCGGACAUUUUGUUUUUAUGUUUGGUUUGGGUCGGCCGCCUGCUGCGGUCACGUGGUCUGGCCGCAGGAUGAUGCUACUCCCUCCUGAACCGCCCAGCCUCCCAUCUGCCCAUCCACUCUUCUGCUGCUACUAAAAUAUUUUUGCAGUCGGCCUCUGCUUGUUCUGCGGUUGGUGUAAACGAAAAACAUAUUUCAAUGAUGCAUGCCACCCCCGAAAACAACAUCAAGCAGGCGUUGCCCCCGUUGCCUCGUUUGCCCGGCCAACCAAUAAACUGGCCAACAACAAGCUCGGGCCAGGAUCUGCAAGAAGGAGAUGAAGCUGCCGACCACAAACAACUGUCAGGGACAUGUUGCAAAUGUGACAAUUUUAUUGGUCUGUCAAGAAAAUAUAAAAAAAAUUGAAAAAUUCAUAUGAAUGAAUGGACAUGGGCCUUAAACUCUGUAUACAAUAUAAAAACCCAUUAUAAAUCUGCGCACUAAUUCAAUUACAAUAAAAUGUAAGCCAACUCUGGAAACUUUUUAUCUUCCGCUUGCAACAUUUCUAUCAGCAUAAUCAUUUCGCAAAUUUGCCCAAGGAUUCUCCAAGGAAACCGCAACUCCCCGCGGAGGAAAAUAUAAGAAACGUAGAGCAAGUAAACCGGCAGACAUAUUUAAUUAUAAAUGCAGUUUGCAACUUUCCGCAAGAAACAUAGAGAGAGAGUAAAAUAGGGGAAUGUGAAAACUUGGCCAUAAAGUACUUACUGGUAAUCAGCUGGGCAACACUCCUGAGCCACUUUCUUCUAAGCCAGCUCUCCAAAUUGCAGUUUAAUGAGCUCAUUGACAGGUGCUGGCAACAGAGCUGAAGAAGCAGAAGCAGAAAGAAUGAAGUGAGCUCGAGGGAUAAAUGGAGUGUAAUUCCCAGCUAAAGCAAAUGCAAUAUUAAUCACCGGUUUUAAACCAAAAUUUCUCGCAUAUUCCCACCAGCCAGACCUCAUCGCUUUUUUUAAAAUUUUUUCUUGCAUUUUUGUGUGCGCACCGCCAGAAUUCCAUUUUUUAAUUAACCGCCAGAGGACUGGAGAGCAGAGAUGUUGGCCCCGGAGACCUGGUUGUCAGUUUACCUGAAUGUGGAGUUCUGUUGACAUUUGCCACCGUCAUGCGACAUUUUGAAUAUGGUCUGGCCGGAAUACAUAACACAUAUACAUAUAUUGCGUAAGUAUAUAUUCAUGUGCUGCGGCAAGAGUUGAGGAGCCGUGACAGCUGUUGCAGGAGUAGUUUUUAAGUAGCUGCUAAUGAGUCGGUAACUUUCAGUCCCACAAGUUUUGAGGCAAUCUUCUUAGGGCAACACUUUAUUCAAAGCAGAACAACGCUUCCCACUUCGAAAGUUAAUUUUUUGCUUCAAGAUGUGCACUUUAUUCGAUACCCCCCCCCAACAUAACCCUCGAUUUUAAGCCAGAAUAUGUGCACACUAUACUAAAAUAACAUAAAGACAUCUUCUCGUACUUGCCAGCACUCUCGUUCGCAUAUCCUUCGUCCUUGGCGCAGCUGGAGCAAGUGCACUGGUCUCAGGGGUGGGGCGGACGUGGCAGAGAACAAUGGCUAACAAUGUUACGCAUACGACACGGGUGCCGCAGGAAAGGUCCGAAGGAAACGGCGAUAAAUGGAAACAUUCGCGAGCAAUUAUGUUACAUCAGCUAUGGAAAAUCCGAAGAAGGUGAUUUUCUGCCUUCCCUUCCAUUUUUUAUGCAGCUCUCCGCACUUGGCGUUAAAUUAAAAACAAGGAAACAGGAAGCGGGAUUACGAUAUAAAUACUAAGCACAAAGAGAGCAACAGAGGAAUAGGGAAACAGGCAGAGGGAGGAGAGCAGAAGGAAACCGAGUUUUCACCGUAUAAAUUCACACUAAACUGGGGAUUUCGAAUGGAUUUUCCGAGGCUGAGACAACAAUGGCAUACUCGGCAUAAUCGCCGAGUGAAUGAAAGCGCAGCAUCAUCGAAGGCGACGGCAGUGCUGACGGGUGACAAGGAUAUGGCGGGAAAAGACAGUGGGGGAGAAGGGGCAGGCCGGCAAAGCAAUCCCGGAGAUGACGACCAUGACAGGCGGAACAAACGAGCAGGAGCAGGAGUCCGUGUAUGGAGCGGCAGCCGGAUAACAGCUGUUGCGGAACCAUUCCCGGCAUAGUUUACUCAGCACUCUUUAGCCAAAUAUAUAUUUACCACACCCCGCCCCCACUCCCUUUCCCCAAAAGAGCCAGUCGCGUUAUAAAUCGCAUUAAGUGGAUCAUACUUUGCAUAUGAAGUGCCCCAACUGGCAAGCCUCCCACCCGGCCCCACCAACUGACAGACGACCAUGUUAGGGAUGGCAUGUACUGUUCUUGGAAUUAUUCAAAAAGACAAAAAAAGUAGUGAGCAUCAAGGAGCAUACAGAUAUCUGGAGAUUGCUUGAGCCGUUUCGUGUUUCUGAAAAUUCUAUCAAAAGUUAUUAAGGGUAUGGGGAUAACCAACAAGACUUACUGCGAUAUUUGGCAAUGUUAUGCCAGUUUUUAUCGGAUCUUUAAGCGGAAUACCCCAUUGAAAUGGGGAAUGAAUACCUUCGAUUGCAAUUUUUUUCAGAUUUUGCGUCCAUUUUUCCAUGGGACUUCCUUAAGAAUUUGGAGAAACCACGGAAGUGCCCUAUAUGGCUCAGAAGAAUAUCUAUAUCUUUCUUAUUUUUUAUCGGAUCCUUGAGCGGAAUACCCCAAUCGAAUUGUAGAUCUAUUCUCCAUCAAUCUGCAUUAAAACCUUCGAUUGAAAUUUUUUUCAGAUUUUGCGUCCAUUUUUCCAUGGGACUGCCUAGAGAAUUGGGAAAAACCACGGAAGUGCCCCAUAUAACCCUAAUUUUUAUCGGAUCCUUGAGCGGAAUACCUCAAUGGAAUUGUCAAAUGCUCCAUCAAGCUGCCUUAUUUUAGCUUUCCUUUAUAUUUUUUAAACUUUUGGAAUAUGUAAUAUAUGGAAUUUAUAUUCAUUUUCAAUCAAUCUUUAAAAGCUUACCAACCUUUUAAAAUAUAAUAUAACGUCUAGUUUAAAGAGCUUUU